GCCCGCGCACGUCCCGCAGCCUGCGCCUCGCCGCGAGUAACGGUCGCUCGGGGUUCGGAACCGUCGCCCGGAAGUGGCAGUGAUGCUCAAAGUCUUCAUUUUGCUUAAGUGCCCCAGGUUUCUCCCAUGAGGCCCUUGGAGAAGACUGCAUAAUACCUGGAAAACUUCCCGUUUCACCAGCGGAAUUCAGUGUCACCGUUGCCUGGUGUUCCAUUUGUGGCAACAGGGAUGGAGCUGGAAGGAUUACACUGAGCAAAAUAAAGCCAGAAGGAGAAAGAAAAAUACCAGGUGGUGUCUCCUGUGGAGCCAAUAUAAUCACAACGCUCGAUAAAUAGGAAGGAGGAGACAGGGGAGACUUAGUGCUGCUGCCAGGUGGAGAGGAGCCGAGCCGAGGAAUGCCGGACGCACCAGGAUCCAGAAAAGGUUUACCCUAUGAGUAUCUUCUUUUUGGCUAAAUCCUUUCAUGGAAUAUCAUGGAAGAACAUGUCUGUUCUAUACCAAGGUGCUCAUAAAAGAAGAGAGAAAGGCCUCUAGUUAGCGGUCAUUAACAAAAACGCUGAAUGGGGUCAUCAUAUUUCUCAAGUCAAGAACAAAGACCCAGACAAGACUUCUGAGAACUAUGAAGUUUUAAGAUGUAUUCGGAUGCCACACUGAAAAUGGCCUGGUAUAUGAACUGACAGUGGCUAUAGGCUUGAUGUCAAAAGGAUUACGAUACCAAAAAGGACAAAUGAACAUAUCCCUCAGAGCUGAAAUAUAUUUUAAGGUCUUCGCUCUUUUUUUCAAAUUGCUGACACAUUUAGCCAAUAUCAACAGUAUUAGAUCACUUAACAAAAAUCCAUUAAUAAUUCCCUCCACUAUAUGAAAAUUAACUUCAAUCUCCAAAAAGUGUGGAUUAAAUUUUACUCAAAGAAGGGGCUAUGUUAUCAGGAGCAAGGCAGAUAAGAGGAACAAAAAGUAUCUACUGUUAAACCGAAGGAGCUUUUAUGCCUGUAUGAUAGGGACCACAGCCACUCAACUCCAUUAGCAGGUUACCAUGUGAGAAUGCAAAUCUAACAUUAGAGCUGCUCCUUUUUUGAAGUCUAACAAUCCAUACUGUCAUCUAAAAUAUCUGAAUUCUAAACGCUGGCGAGUAGCUGUUUUAAGAAGCACUACGUAAAAUGAAACAAACCACAAAACCAAACAACCAGUACAACAUGCGUCAAGCCAAACAAAACCUACUUGCAGGCUGACAAUCUGCCACCUCUAGGAAAAGGGUCAGGGAUUUUAGGAAAAUGCAUCUGUGAAACCAGACCAGGGAAGGGGGCUGGAAAGGAAAUGUAUGUAAAAGAAGCUAGAAAUGUCUUUCCAGGAAAAACUCCCCUGAAAAUUUGUCCUCCCACCCCCCCACACAAAAAAGGCAGGUAGAAAUUUUCCAUAUCUUGAUUAUUUAAAAUUCCAUUCCCUGGGUCUCCCACUUCCCAAUUAGAAAUGCAGCUUGCUGAGGAUAGGUAACUCAAUCAUCUUGAUAUCCUAAGGCUGAGGAGGAGCUAAACAACUCAAAUUUAACUCAGAAAAUUAAUUUACUCAAAAAUUUACUGAGUACCUACAGUGUGCAAGGCACUAUUCAAGAGAGAGCUCAACAAAAACAAAGAAAUCUCUUCCCUCAUGGACUUUAUCUUCUAGUGGGGAAAACAGACUUAAUAGGUAAAUUACAUGGUAUGUUAGAAGGUGGUAAGUACUAUGAAAAAAAAAAAAAAGGCAACAUAAGUGUGGGUUGAAGGGAGGGAGUGUUGCAAUUUUUAAUGGGGAGACAGAACCAGCUUCACCGAGGUGAGGGAAAGAGGAGAGUAGCUCUCUAGAGAACAAGCAGAAGGAAUAGUCAGUACACAGGCCUCAUGCAGGAGUGUAUCUGCAGCAUGAUGAACAGUGAAGAGGCCAGUGUGGUGACAGCACAGUUAGAAAGAGUGGAAGCAUAUCACUCCAAAGACUGGUUUUUAGCUAUGUAGUUUGGAGCAGUGACAAUGACUCACAUUUUAUAAGGAUCACACUGGUUGCUGCUGAGAAUGAUUAGAGAGAGUGACAAAGUUAGAAGCUAUAGGACAAGUUAGGAGGCUAUUAAACUGAUCCUGGAGGAAGAAAAUUUUGACUUGAAUCAGUGUUGGCAGUAAGGGAUAGCUGGAUUCUGAAGGCACUGUGAAUGAAGAUAGAGCCAGAUGUUGUCUCUUAUUUUCUAUUAUGGCUGUAUCAAAGAAAUAGAUAUUUUAGGAACACAAACUAUUUGAAAGGCAAACUCAUCUCUCCCUUUGGGUGAGAGGAAAAAUACUGUUGCUCUUAAAAACACAAGCUCUGACUUCCUAUCUAUUAGGAUGAAUAUUAUGUAUAUAAAAACCGCAGAAAAGAACAAAUAUUGGAGAGGAUGUGAAGAAAUUGGAGCCCUUGUACACUACUGGUGGGAAUGUAAAAUGGUUCCUCAAAAAAUUAAACCCAAUAUGAUCCAUCAAUUCCAUUUCUGGGUAUAUACUCAAAAGAAAUAAAAACAGGGAGUGGACCAGUUAUUUCCAUGGCUAUGCUGACAACAGCCAAAGGUAGAAGCAAACCAGAGUUCAUCAAUAGAUGAGUAAACAAAACAUGGUACAUACAUAAAAUGGCAUAUUAUUCUACUUUGAAAAGGAAGGAAAUUCUGAUACAUGCUACAGGAUGGAGGAAUCUUAAAGACAUCAUUCUAAGUUAAAUUAGCCAGUCACAGAAAAACAAAUACUGUGUAUGAUUUCACUUAUAUGUAGUUCUUAAAGUCCACUCAGGUGUGGCUCCUAGUUGUGGAAUGGAGGUUAACCAGAGGCUGUGGCAAGGGGGAAAUGUGUACAGUUUCAACUGGGGAAGAUGAAGUUCUCGUGGAUGGUGGCAGUUAAACAACAAUGUGUGUGUACAUAAUGCUAUAUAGGUCUGCACACUAAAAUGAAUUUUGUCAGGUAUAGUUUACCCCCCAAGUAAGGUAAAAAUAAUAGAAUAAUACUUUGUCUAUCUCUCAAACAACAAAAUUCCCCCAAAACACAAGUUCUGCAGUUAGCCUACCUGAGCACUUAUGAACUAUUAUACAUCCCAGACAAGUUACUAACUUCAUUGACCUUUCAUUUUCUCAUCUGUAAAACAGGGAGAACCCUACCCAAAGAAUUGCUGUAAAGAUCAAAUGAGGUAUCAGGAAAGUUCUUAGAACAGUAACUGGCACAUGACACUUAAUAAAUAUCAGCUCUUAUUAGCAUAAGUAAGAGACUUACUUACUCAAUGAUUUCAGGGAAAUAAUCACUGGAUGAUUAUUUCACGGUGAGUUAUUCCAUUCAGUUGAUGGUUACUAUCGAGCUGCAUGGGCAAUCUUCACAUUAACGAAGCCAUGAAACAACCAGGUGUUCUGUGGAGUCUGCUACAAAUUCAGAUAUACUUUGAAGCGACACCAGUUUAUGGUGGCUGAGGCUAAAAUACUCAAGUAAUUUGGGAAUAUAAAACUGGUUUCAAAUUUUAAAAAGUAAGGUAAAUCAUGAGACCACAUCUUAAUCCAAAUUCUUACAAUCUGUUAGUAAUGGAAAGAACUAGGGUGGUGUUCUUUUUAUGAGGUGUUUAUCAUGUAUCAGCAUGCAAAAAUAUACACUGAAUAUAUUAUAUGUACAUGAACACCAAGUUAUAUCUAGGCAAUUAAAAAAAAAACCUCUACAAUAUCUUUUAAAAUUAUAAUUCUUUAAAAAUGUUUCCUGGGUCUCCCUGGUGGCGCAAGGAUUAAGCACCACACUAUGAAGCAAUCCGCAGCCUCCGCAGCACGAGUUCAAUCCCUGGCCGGCCAGGAAGAAACUCACAUGGCGAGGCAGACCUCUCCUACCUUGCCCGCUGCUCCCCUCAGCAGUGUAUUUCAGUCAAUCUGCCUGUUCUGCUCCCCUACUCUAUCUCUGGUGGAUCCUCUCAAACCCCGCCUCUCUGGCCUGGACUCUAGCUCUUGUAUGCAUAAAUAAAUCUUAAAAAAAAAAAAAAGUUUCCUAUGUUAGGUUUAGGUUGAAUUAAGAAUGAUAUCCUUGAUAUAAAAGGUAGAGAAAACUAAUGAUUGUGAAUCUACAGAAAAUUAAACCUGGAGUAAAUUCAACACUGUAGUGUGUCAACACACCUGGCUUCUUACUGGCAUUUACCCAAAUUAUAAUACAAAAGAAAAAUCAGAAAACUCAAGGCAAAAAAAACUGGUGUGGUAACUUUGAAGGCAAAAAACUGGUGUGGUAAACAAAUAUCAAAGGCUGGUAAACUUUUGGAACCAACAUAUAUGACAGAAGAGGCAAAGUUCUGAUGUUUCAGGGAUCUGAAUUUAGAUUGUGCUUCAUGACCGCUUAUAGUAAAUAAAUUCCAGUUCCUAGAAAUGUUAUCUAAAUCUUUUUAUACAUAAAUAUGUCAUCACAGCUCU